rnacentral:rRNA from 1 species
GACGAACGCUGGCGGCGUGCUUAACACAUGCAAGUCGAGCGGUAAGGCCCUUUCGGGGGUACACGAGCGGCGAACGGGUGAGUAACACGUGGGUGACCUGCCCUCAGCUCUGGGAUAAGCCUGGGAAACCGGGUCUAAUACUGGAUAUGACUCCAUGACGCAUGUUGUGGGGUGGAAAGCCUUGUGCGGCUGAGGAUGGGCCCGCGGCCUAUCAGCUUGUUGGUGGGGUGANGGCCUACCAAGGCGACGACGGGUAGCCGGCCUGAGAGGGCGACCGGCCACACUGGGACUGAGACACGGCCCAGACUCCUACGGGAGGCAGCAGUGGGGAAUAUUGGACAAUGGGCGCAAGCCUGAUCCAGCCAUGCCGCGUGUGUG